CUUCCAAGAAAAGCUUGCACUGUCAUAAACAAAUAAUGCCUGUACCAUAACCGACACAGGUGGGUAGGUAGAGUAUACUAAGGGGCGCGAGAUAACUCUCUCUAAGGAACUCGGCAAAAUGACUCCGUAACUUCGGGAGAAGGAGUGCCUUCUUUAGAAGGUUGCAAUAACAAGAUCCAAGCAACUGUUUACCAAAAACACAGGUCUCCGCUAAGUCGUAAGACGAUGUAUGGGGGCUGACGCCUGCCCAGUGCCAGAAGGUUAAAGAAGUUGGUUAGCAUUCGCGAAGCUGAUAACUGAAGCCCUGGUGAACGGCGGCCGUAACUAUAACGGUCCUAAGGUAGCGAAAUUCCUUGUCGGGUAAGUUCCGACCCGCACGAAAGGCGUAAUGAUCUGGAUACUGUCUCGGAGAGGGACUCGGUGAAAUAGACUUGUCUGUGAAGAUGCGGACUACCUGCACCUGGACAGAAAGACCCUAUGAAGCUUUACUGUAACUUGAAAUUGAAAUUGGACUUUAUUUGCGCAGUAUAGGUGGGAGGCCUUGAGAAUAAUCUUGCGGGAUUAUUGGAGCCAUCAGUGAGAUACCACUCUUGUAAUGUUAGAUUUCUAACUUUGGAUCAUGAUCUGGUCAAAGAACAGUUUCAGGCGGGCAGUUUGACUGGGGCGGUCGCCUCCCAAAUGGUAACGGAGGCGCACAAAGGUUUCCUCUGAACGGGUAGAAAUCGUAUCUAGAGUGUAAAGGCAUAAGGAAGCUUGACUGUGAGACCUACAAGUCGAGCAGGGACGAAAGUCGGUCUUAGUGAUCUGACGGUGCUGAGUGGAAAGGCCGUCACUCAACGGAUAGAAGUUACUCUAAGGAUAACAGGCUGAUCUCCCCCAAGAGUUCACAUCGACGGGGAGGUUUGGCACCUCGAUGUCGGCUCAUCGCAUCCUGGGGCGGUAGUACGUCCCAAGGGUUGGGCUGUUCGCCCAUGAAAGCGGUACGCGAGCUGGGUUCAGAACGUCGUGAGACAGUUCGGUCCAUAUCCGGUGUAGGCGUUAGAAUAUUGAGAGGAGCCUUCUCUAGUACGAGAGGACCGAGAAGGACAUACCUCUGGUGUACCAGUUAUCGUGCCAACGGUAAACGCUGGGUAGCUAUGUAUGGAGUGGAUAACCGCUGAAAGCAUCUAAGUGGGAAGCCCACCUCAAGAUAAGUAUUCUC
rnacentral:rRNA from 1 species